GAAUUGACGGGGGCCCGCACAAGCGGUGGAGCAUGUGGUUUAAUUCGAUGCAACGCGAAGAACCUUACCUGGUCUUGACAUCCACGGAAGUUUUCAGAGAUGAGAAUGUGCCUUCGGGAACCGUGAGACAGGUGCUGCAUGGCUGUCGUCAGCUCGUGUUGUGAAAUGUUGGGUUAAGUCCCGCAACGAGCGCAACCCUUAUCCUUUGUUGCCAGCGGUCCGGCCGGGAACUCAAAGGAGACUGCCAGUGAUAAACUGGAGGAAGGUGGGGAUGACGUCAAGUCAUCAUGGCCCUUACGACCAGGGCUACACACGUGCUACAAUGGCGCAUACAAAGAGAAGCGACCUCGCGAGAGCAAGCGGACCUCAUAAAGUGCGUCGUAGUCCGGAUUGGAGUCUGCAACUCGACUCCAUGAAGUCGGAAUCGCUAGUAAUCGUGGAUCAGAAUGCCACGGUGAAUACGUUCCCGGGCCUUGUACACACCGCCCGUCACACCAUGGGAGUGGGUUGCAAAAGAAGUAGG
rnacentral:rRNA from 1 species